rnacentral:lncRNA from 1 species
ACGGACAUCGGUCAUGCCGUGCGCACUCUUCUGCAGGGCAUACUUACAAAUGAAGCUGCACUGCAGUUCAGCUGGAAAGGGUCGCAGGGGAGGAAGCACGCCUUCGUGAAGCUCCCGGCCAUCACGAAUCUCAUUCUAACAUCUGUGAGGAGCACCUUCCCAGACGCUUCACUGGCUUCAGUGGCUGGAGUCACGAAACGCUGGUUAGUCGGAGCAGCUGACAGGGAUGGAGGCCGGAACGAGAGAAGGCGUCGUGACCCCGCUUCAAGCCCACGAUGAACUAGCAUUUGAAACUUUUGUGAACGUGUGGGUGUAUACAUAUCCAAGACAAAUACAAGAAAUAAAGACCUGUAUAAGA